ensembl:lncRNA
CCCAGGGCUGAGGGUCACGCAGCAGGGAGAGGCCUGUUGUGCAUUGCAUCCCAAUUUGCUAUGCAUUUCCACACCAUUUGCUCCCCUUUCUUUUUCCCGCACUAGAAAGAUGCUCGCUACCCAGGGGUCCAAACUGCUCCAAGACGGUAAUAUAACAACAAACAUCGACAUACAUAUAUUUAUGUUUUUAUGGCGCACACAGUUUGCAAGAAAACCACUGCUCUGGGGACGGCCCGUGCCUCCAUAGCCCCCACACACCACCGCAGGACCCAACAGCAGAUGCUCUCUGCUGCUCCAUGUCACACAGCUGCACAGUUCCACCCCCAGCUGUGCUCAGCCCAAUGCUAUACAGACCUCCAUGCCUCAAUUCACUGAGCUGCUUUAGGAAAACCGGCAUUUGCCCACAGCAAAUAUGGCCACCGUGGCACACAUCUCUCCCCCUCCCCAGUCUCACUCUUUGAAGCCAGGGGAGUUUUGUGCCCUCGGCACACCCCCAUGCCAAGCACAAGGUCAUGGCUGCCCACCUCCAUGCAGCUGACAAAGCUGUGGGCACAACCUCACACUGCUGGGGGAAGGAAAGAAGAAAGCCAAGCUGAAUUAUUCAGUAUUUUACCAAUGGGGACGUAACUGCAGCUUCAACUUCUGGAUGCUGCAGGGGGUUUCUAUGGGCUGGCAAGCAAAAAGGCAAAUCUCACUGCUUCACCUCCGUGAAAACCCAACUUGCUGUCCAGAAACACCCACACUUUUCUGAAGCCCAUCGCACCUUCCUGUAACCCACCUCACCAACCUCACCCCAAGGUUCUGCUCUCCGGGUGCAGACGCUCCUCCCUCACCUGAGCACAGCACAGCCCCACCGACCACCACGGCCCCACCACGCAUGGCAUUCCUGGCAUGUCUGACAUACUUGGGAAGAGCUAUAAAAUUAUAUCCCGCCAGGUCAGGUAAUGGGUCUGCAUCUCUUUUUUAAGGUGCUCUGGCUCUCGCUGUCCUGGUCCCACUGGGCACACGUGGUCCCUGAGCAAAUCCCCACAUAGGGUUUGGAUCACUAUGGGGUGACCCGCAGUGCACGGCACAGUGCAGACCGCACAUCUCACAACUGUGGGGAUGGGACCCAAAGGUCUCUGGCUCAGCCCAUGCAAAGCGACAGUGGAGCAACACAGAACUUUUUCCCACCGAUGGCAAUGGAAGCUCAGUUCAGCUCGGUCAGUGUGGGACGCACACGGUGUGCUGGGAUGCACGGCAUUCCAGGAACGUGGGUUGUUCUGGAAACGGAGGGAUGGUGCUGGUCAGGAGGGUCACAUAGGAAACACAGCACUGCAACCACGGCACACGCUCGGUCCCCGUGCAGACCCGGAGCUCUGCUGCCACCUCCCUGCCUCAGCUUCUCCCACGCUCAGGCAGACAAAGCACCAACACCCAACCCAGCCUCUCCCUCAGUGCUUUGCAAAGGAAGAAACCCAUUAUCGCGUUUUUGCAUCCUGCAGAGGAGCUCAACAGCACCAACACUGAGCGCCUAUGCAGGCAGUUCAGGCCCUGCAUAUCCCUGCCCAGCGCCAACACAAAGCACCAUCAAUGCCAAAGUGUGCCCACGCGGCUCUUGGGUUGGAUGGGAACUCUCACAUGGCCGUUUUUUCCUUUGGCUGCACACAAAGACCAGAGCCGACGAAAGCCGAAUUAACUUAAAACAAACAAACAAAGUGCAGCGCUGGGUUAUUUUUCUACCUCGCGUUCGGCUGAGAAAAUUAAACGCUUCUAACUAUUCUUCUUGUCAGCGAACAUCAACAGCCAAAAGAAAACAAUAAGAUGUGACACCACCCGACGUCGGAUGAGCACCUGGUGGGGACGCAGCGCCCCGACCUCCCGGCAGCUCCGUCCCCUCCCUCCAUGCAGCGGCACGCCGGGCCCGGAGGUGCGCGCAGAAGGGAUUCUGACGCCGGUAUCGCUUACCCGACACGGGCGGCCCGGGUUGCGGGCGGGCGGGACGCGCCAUGACCCGCUCAACCCGAGGCGGCCGGGCUGCGGAGGUUCGUCGCCCCGUGGCUCUCCCGCACGGUUAUUACCCGCAGGCUCCGGGCCCGCGGCUGCGAACUCCCCGCGGUGCUGACUCAUCUCCUCCCAUGCCCGUAACGCACCGUGUGCCGCUGCUCCACGCCCCCCGCGCUGCCCCGCGUCGCUCAGUGCGGGGAACGAAGCCGUGCCGGGCGCUACCGGGCUGCCACCCCCCGGUGAAACGCGGUGCGCUCCCCCGCAAUGAAACGUUCAGAGCCAGAACCGGCGGCAACAACGCGACUCCGCUGACCGCGGGGCUGUGCGUGUGCGGAACGCCUCCGGCCCGGUGGGUUCCCCACCCCCCUCCGGGCGCUCCGAGC